GUGCCAGCCGCCGCGGUAAUACCGGCAGCCCGAGUGAUGGCCGAUCUUAUUGGGCCUAAAGCGUCCGUAGCCGGCCUCGCAAGUCCGUCGGGAAAUCCAGUAGCUCAACUACUGGGCGUCCGGCGGAAACUACAAGGCUUGGGACCGGAAGAUCCAAGGGGUACGUCCGGGGUAGGAGUGAAAUCCCGUAAUCCUGGACGGACCACCGAUGGCGAAAGCACCUUGGAAGGACGGAUCCGACAGUGAGGGACGAAAGCCAGGGUCUCCAACCGGAUUAGAUACCCUUGUAGUCC
rnacentral:rRNA from 1 species